CAACCGCGCGGCCUUUUCCACGCGCCACCCAGGUUCUCCGCAGUGUCCCCGGGCUGCGAAGAUGAGCUCUGCCAAACCCCUACACAAAAGUGAGGCUCUGAUCCAGAAAAGUCUGAGGAAAUGGCCACCGUCAUAUUUAAAGGGCUCUGGAGCCACAGGGAUGUUGUUUUUCAGAAAUUAAGUUUUCCUCUCUUCAGCCUGUGACAGAAACAACCUCAGUGGCUUUGUGAAGAGUGCCUGGUUCAGUGUUCUUCAAUUGUAACUACAGAGCAGUCUAUCAACAGCUGUCCGCACAAGGAGAGAACAGAAACCGGAGAUCCUGUACAAGCUUUUGCAGAAAUUAUCUAUUAAAAUCAAGUCAUAAAAUCAA